AGCGCAGGCGGUUUCUUAAGUCUGAUGUGAAAGCCUUCGGCUCAACCGAAGAAGUGCAUCGGAAACUGGGAAACUUGAGUGCAGAAGAGGACAGUGGAACUCCAUGUGUAGCGGUGAAAUGCGUAGAUAUAUGGAAGAACACCAGUGGCGAAGGCGGCUGUCUGGUCUGUAACUGACGCUGAGGCUGAAAGCAUGGGUAGCAAACA
rnacentral:rRNA from 1 species